GAGCUGUGAGGAUUAAUGGCUUCAGCGUAGGUUGGGUCCUUCGCAUUCUUCUGACUUAUCAGAUGACAUAUGGCCUAAGUCUGAGCUC
rnacentral:snoRNA from 1 species